AAACAGAGUCUCUCAGACUCUCAAAAAACUUUACUCCCUCAGGCCAUUAGGGCUUCUCCGGCCCCCGAUACGCCGCCAUCGUGGCUAAAGGCCGACGGCUGAAGAAAAGGGCUUCCUGAGCCUUUGUUUCGCAGCGUGCAAAAGCCGGGCUUUCAACCCGAGGGGCCGAGGACUUUAGACCCUUUUUAAGGCCCGAUUCUGACGACGGCGAGGGGACCUCUGUCGACGAAGCCACGGGAUGAUUUAGGUACGUUUUUCUUUUCUUUUCUAUUUCUGUGUGUGUGUGUUUUUUUUUGUUAAAAUGGGUUUGUAAAAAAAUGAUAAAAGAUAAAAUAAAUAAAAGAAAAUGAAGAGGAAACAGUAAAGGACUUAAAUCAACCUUUCGAAAUUUCUGUUCUGCUUUUUAAUUUUAUUAAUGUGUGUAAAAAAAAUACAGAGGUGAAAUUUAGGCUCUUAUAGCCGGAUAUAAACAACUCUUAAUCAUUAUUUUUUGUCGUUUUGCGUUUGUUUGUUGUUUGUUGUUUGCUGCUUUUCUUUUGUUUUUUUUCCUUUGUCUUUUCUUGCAGGAGGUCUGACGCACGUGGAGGGCCGACGAUAGGCGAGCAGCGGCGGUGGCGUGCGCAGGGAGAGCGGCGGCGCGGCGUUGGAGCCUGGGCAUGCGGCGCAGCGCUGGAGCCUAGGCAUGCGGCGCUUAGGCUUAGGGUUUGCUGUUUGUUUUCCAUUCUGUUGGGCUAGGGUUUUUGUCAUUGGGCCAUUUGGGCCGUUUGUAUUUUUGGGCUAAUUUAGUUGUAAUGGACUGGGACUGUUUUUUUUUGGGGUUUAAUCAGUUCUGGCCCGGGCAAAAUUACACUCUCGCUUGGUCUUUUAUAUAUUAGGCAUUGUCUGUUGCUGAAAGAAGACUGCGCAAGCGAUAAAGGACAAGAGUGGUCUAAGAUUUCCCACAUAACCUACGUUGAAAUUAAAAGUGUCACCCCGAGGAGAUCAGAUUGAAAGAUUAGUCACAAAAUCUGUGAUUGGUUUCUUCACAAUCAUGGGACAGGCAUUGAAAGCUAAGUUGGUGUGGAAGUACUUUGAAGGAAAAGUAAACAUAUUCAACAGAUCAGCUUUAGCUUAUUUGAUUAAAUAUACAGCUAAUUCUCUGUAUAUUGUUGAAAUCAUGCAAAUUUGAUUUGAUUUAAUAUAAGCUCUAGCCAUUUCAACCGCAUAA